rnacentral:tRNA from 1 species
CCGACGAUAGCUCAGCUGGUAGAGCGGAGGACUGUAGAUGUUGCAGAUAUCCUUAGGUCGGUGGUUCGAAUCCGCCUCGUCGGA